UCCUCACCGAGGCGUCCUUCUAAGAGAUCCACUUGAAUGGAGCCCAGUCCAGACCUCUUUCUGCACUCCCGAGAACCCGAAUCAGAUGAGGACACCUUCCUGCAUGAUGAACCUCAGGACGAUGAUUUCACUGAUGAGCCACCAGCAGGUCCAUCUUAUGGCCCAUCUGAGUAAACCAUUUGUUGGAGAGAUGUACCUGUAUUUAGUAACAUGGCUGUUUUGAACUUGAUCUCCGAAAAGAUUGAAGAAAUUUAUACAUGAUACCUAGUCCACAAUAUUGCUACUUUUGAAACUAUAAAAAAUUAUUAUAUGUAUGUUUGUUAAACUGUUACGAUGAGAUGUUUUUAUUACCAGAGCUUCGUUCUACAAAAUUACAUCUAGGUUAUCCAAUUUAUACAGUAUGUUUCAAAAUGAUUAUAAUGUAAUCUCUUUAAUUCCAAAAUAAAAACUCUUAAAUUAUCUACACCCCAGUGUAUGUGUACUGCCAUACAGCUGAAAUUUUUAUAGGGUGUACAACAUUGCGUUUAUUAAUUUAGUUUUAAGAAUGUAUCGCUAUCUCGUAUUUUAAUGUUUUUGUCUUACACUUUUUCUAAAUGUAAAUUUCCCAAAGAAAAUGGCCGCGGAUUAAGAGUUUUUAAAAAGGAUUUUUUUGAGAUAUUGGAUCUACAGGGAAGGGUGAAAAUCAUCCCGAUGCAUUGCAAGACUGCAGUCUCCGCUUUAUCAUCUACUACUCAGACUUUGUCU